AUGGAAACCCCUGACAGUGUGGUGGAACCAUCUUUCUAUGGUUCUUACACUGAAUCUGAGCCGAUGUCCAUGAUGCAUCAUCAGAGGCCGAAGAAAAUGGUAACUUUUGAAGGUGCUUUGACAGGGAGGCGAUUCAUGGGUUGUCCCGUGAGCCAGGAUGAAGGUGUCAACUGUGGUGUGGUGGAGUGGGUAGAUGGUCCUUGGCCAGAGAUUCUACAAAGGUGCCUAGGAAGGAUUUGGGUCAUGUACCAUGAGCAGAACUUGGGUAGGGUGAAGGACAAACAAGCUCAUGAGAAAGAGGUGGGCAAGUAA
rnacentral:rRNA from 1 species